GAAAUGCGAUAAGUAAUGUGAAUUGCAGAAUUCAGUGAAUCAUUGAAUCUUUGAACGCACAUUGCGCCCGCCAGUAUUCUGGUGGGCAUGCCUGUCCGAGCGUCAUUUCAACCAUCAAGCCCCCGGGCUUGUGUUGGGGACCUGCGGCUGCCCGCAGGCCCUGAAAACCAGUGGCGGGCUCGCUGUCACACCGAGCGUAGUAGCAAUCACCUCGCUCAGGGCGUGCUGCGGGUUCCGGCCGUUAAACAGCCUUACAAAACCCAAGGUUGACCUCGGAUCAGGUAGGAAGACCCGCUGAACUUAAGC
rnacentral:misc_RNA from 1 species